rnacentral:rRNA from 1 species
UACGGAGGGGGCUAGCGUUGUUCGGAAUUACUGGGCGUAAAGCGCGCGUAGGCGGCUUUGUAAGUUAGAGGUGAAAGCCCGAGGCUCAACCUCGGAACUGCCUUCGAUACUGCGGGUCUCGAGUCCGGGAGAGGUGAGUGGAAUUCCUAGUGUAGAGGUGAAAUUCGUAGAUAUUAAGAAGAACACCAGUGGCGAAGGCGGCUCACUGGCCCGGUACUGACGCUGAGGCGCGAAAGCGUGGGGAGCAAACAGG